rnacentral:rRNA from 1 species
AGCGAACGCUGGCGGCGUGCUUAACACAUGCAAGUCGAACGGCCUUCGGGUAGCAAUACUUGAGGGUAGUGGCGAACGGGUGAGUAACACGUGGGUAAUCUCCCCCCGAGUGAGGGAGUAAGCUUGCGAAAGCGGGUCUAAUACCGCAUGAAACUCCGGGCGUCGGUCUUCGGAGUCAAAGCCGUAAGGCGCUUGGGGAUGAGCCUGCGUCCUAUUAGCUAGUUGGUAGGGUAAUGGCCUACCAAGGCUGUGAUGGGUAGCCGGCCUGAGAGGGUGAUCGGCCACACUGGAACUGAGACACGGUCCAGACUCCUACGGGAGGCUG